UACAGAGGUCUCAAGCGUUGUUCGGAUUCAUUGGGCGUAAAGGGUGCGUAGGCGGCGCGGUAAGUCGGGUGUGAAAUCUCGGAGCUUAACUCCGAAACUGCAUUCGAUACUGCCGUGCUUGAGGACUGGAGAGGAGACUGGAAUUUACGGUGUAGCGGUGAAAUGCGUAGAUAUCGUAAGGAAGACCAGUGGCGAAGGCGGCUACCUGGACAAUUGCUGACGCUCAGGCACGAAAGCGUGGGGAGCAAAAGGG
rnacentral:rRNA from 1 species